rnacentral:lncRNA from 1 species
ACGGAAGUGGCUCGCGCGUCCAAGAGGGGAGGCCUGGUGUGGGGACGCUCAGCUCACGGACACAGACCUAAUUAAACAGUGUAUAGAUGAAUGCACAGCCAGGAUUGAAAUUGGACUGCAUUACAAGAUUCCUUACCCAAGGCCAAUUCAUCUGCCUCCAAUGGGCCUUACCCCACUCCGAGGCCGGGGACUUCGAAGCCAAGAGAAACUGAGGAAACUUUCCAAACCAGUAUAUCUCAGAUCUCAUGAUGAAGUUUCCUAAUCUAGAGGAAAGUUUAUUUCUGCAAAUGAUGAGCCAACUAGUUAUUGAAUGUAAACCAGAUGGCAAAACACUUCUUGAUUAGGGGCAAAAAUUCAAAUGUCUUCUUAAAACCUCCACAAUUGAUUCUCCCCCUGUGAUGUAAACUUAGAUAUCCCUAGAGUUUCUCAGCAUCUUUCUUCCUGAGUGGAUGGCAUUAUCCCUAGAGGUCAUGGACCUUACAUCCUCACUGCAGUCACCUUUGGAAACAAGACCGAGGCCUGUAGAAGGAAAGCGGAAGGAUGUAAGAGCUGUUCAUGGGAAUUCCAUUCACCACACAUGCCAGCUGAUGCAAAGAAAUUUGCCAGUCACUGGAAGUUACUGUGGCUACUAUAAAACUAUGUACCACUCUCAGAAUAUUCUUAGGCUUUUUUUUUUUCAAGUUAUAGAUUUGCUUAAAGUGAGGUUUUUUGGUGUGUGCUUUUUUGUUGUCUUUUGACCCUUCCAGUUUCCAGACAAACUUGUCUUAAAAAGUGCAUCAUUGGAUUGACCAUGGUUUUUCAUGAAAUUUUAUGAGAUUUCUGCCUUAACAAAAUGCAUAUAUUCCUUAUCUUAAAGCCUGUCAUUACUUAGGAUGCACUUAUAGGAUCUGAAAAGCUCACUUUAAACUCAUACUACAUUCGUUACGAGUAUUUUACGUUAACAUAAUUGAAAAGUACAAGGUCCAAGCUGGCUUUCAAAUUAUGUCUAAACAGAAAUGGGACAAAUAGACUUGAAAAUAGAAGGGAUUUAUUCCACCCCUGCAAGGGUAGAGUCAGGUGAGAGUCCCUUGGUGAGUCAUUUGUACAUCAGUGUCAUUUCUUCUUAACCUCUGAAGAAGAUGGGCAUCAGAAAUAAAGACAAAGCACUAUCAAUUUUU